rnacentral:rRNA from 1 species
UACAGAGGUCGCAAGCGUUGUUCGGAUUUACUGGGCGUAAAGGGCGCGUAGGCGGUCUUGCGUGUCAGAUGUGAAAUCUCCGGGCUCAACCCGGAAAGUGCGUCUGAAACUACAGGACUCGAGUCUGGGAGAGGGAAUCGGAAUGCAGGGUGUAGCGGUGAAAUGCGUUGAUAUCCUGCAGAACACCGGAGGCGAAGGCGGAUUCCUUGAACAGCACUGACGCUGAGGCGCGAAAGUCGGGGGAGCAAACAGG